UUACCAGGGCUUGACAUCCCUGCUAACGAGGUAGAGAUACGUCAGUGCCCUUCGGGGACAGCAGAGACAGGUGGUGCAUGGUUGUCGUCAGCUCGUGUCGUGAGAUGUUGGGUUAAGUCCCGCAACGAAGCGCAACCCCUAUUGUUAGUUGCUACGCAAGAGCACUCUAGCGAGACUGCCGUUGACAAAACGGAGNAAGGUGGGGACGACGUCAAAUCAUCAUGCCCCUUAUGUCCUGGGCUACACACGUAAUACAAUGGCGGUCAACAGAGGGAAGCAAANCCGUGAGGUGGAGCGAACCCCUAAAAGCCGUCUCAGUUCGGAUCGCAGGCUGCAACUCGCCUGCGUGAAGUCGGAAUCGCUAGUAAUCGCGGAUCAGCAUGCCGCGGUGAAUACGUUCCCGGGCCUUG
rnacentral:rRNA from 1 species